rnacentral:rRNA from 1 species
GACGUAGGGCGCGAGCGUUGUCCGGAUUUAUUGGGCGUAAAGAGCUCGUAGGCGGCUUGUCGCGUCGACUGUGAAAUCCCGCGGCUCAACUGCGGGUCUGCAGUGGGUACGGGCAGACUAGAGUGCGGUAGGGGAGAUUGGAAUUCCUGGUGUAGCGGUGGAAUGCGCAGAUAUCAGGAGGAACACCAAUGGCGAAGGCAGAUCUCUGGGCCGUAACUGACGCUGGAGGAGCGAAAGCGUGGGGAGCGAACAGG